rnacentral:pre_miRNA from 1 species
UCCGUUGCGUGGAUCGCGAUUCGUGAGCCCGAAGAUCCGCGAACCGGGGAUCCAAAAUCCGCGAUCCGAGAUCCGUCGAACUGGGAUC